rnacentral:misc_RNA from 1 species
UCAAUACCAGAACUUCCAUCAGUUCACAUCUACCCUCGGAUACAGGAACAGUUCACAUCUACCCUCAGAUACAGGAACAGUUCACAUCUACCCUCGGAUACAGGAACAGUUCACAUCUACCCUCGGAUACAGGAACAGUUUACAUCUACCCUCGGAUAAAGGAACAGUUUACAUCUACCCUCGGAUACAGGAACAGUUUACAUCUACCCUCGGAUACAGGAACAGUUCACAUCUACCCUCGGAUAAAGGAACAGUUUACAUCUACCCUCGGAUACUGGAACAGUUUACAUCUACCCUCGGAUAAAGGAACAGUUCACAUUUACCCUCUGAUACAGGAACAGUUCACAUCUACCCUCUGAUAAAGGAACAGUUCACAUCUACCCUCGGAUAUAGGAACAGUUCACAUCUACUCUCAGAUACAGGAACAGUUUACAUCUACCCUCGGAUAUAGGAACAGUUCACAUCGGAUACAGGAACACUCGUGGAAUCAUAAAACCAUCGUUCCAUAUUAAAAAAAUCAUCGUUCCAGAUUUAACUAAGUUCCAAAUUGGAACCGAAAACCAUAGAUUUAUAAUUUGUUCCAUGCAGUGACGAUCUGAUCAAACAAUUCGUGAGAAACUUCUAUUGUUCUCUAUCAAAUUUGAUAGAUUUAACGAACAGAAUCAGUCAUAAUAACACCAAGAUUGAUAUUAUGAACGAAAUGUAUUUCUCUAGUCUUGAUAAAUACCUCCUGCUUUAUAUUUGAUAAAUCAGAUUAUAAACAUUUUCAACACAUAAAACGUGAACUAUUACAGAUCUGUCACGAUCUAUAAGGAAUUUUCAAAAUAUACGGAAAAUGUAAAGUUCUAGCUCCAAAUCCAACCUCAACUUGUUUCCUGUUUAAAGCCAAGCCCGGAGUAAGUUGAAACCUCAGAACGUGUUCAAAGUCUGCUCUUCAUUUAAUUAGAAUACUGUAGAUUUAAGACGGGAAAGGAUGAAUUACUCCCUGGUCUAUUUACUCCUGAACCUGAUCUUCCUCCAGACUAAGUCUCAGACCAUCAACCUUUCUCUCCAGGAGAGCAGAUCCUACAUUGGUAUACCUUCAGUACAUCCAGCACACCUGGAGUACUUAACAAGACCCAAUCUUCAUAUGCUUCAUUCCGCCGGCUGCCAUACCACAGAAUUACAACUUUCUUGUGAUUCCGGACUACUAGUGAUAGAAGGAGCUAUAUUCCGAUCUACUGGAACACAAACUCUUCUAAACUGCUCCGGAAUAGAACAGCACAGUAGGCAAGAUGGAUCCAGGUUUCACCUACUCCAGGGGGACCUGGAUAUUCACAGAGAACUAAACCGACGUUGCUCCGGGUUCUCAGCAGCUACGGAUUGUAGAUUUAACCUGCUGCUAGAUAGUUUAGCCUCUAAGGCCUGGGGUCCGGGUAUUGUUGAGGUCUGGCAUAGAUGUGUUCCUAACAAGUUGAUCCAGAAGAAAUGUGGAACUGAGGUGAGUGGGAGAGGAUUCCUGAUGUCUAACUCCUAUCCUAAAUACUAUAUGGGUGGUCAGGUUUGCUCCUGGAAAGUUGAGUCAAGCAGAAACCAACUAGUUCUCAUCAAGGUACUGGAUCUACACCUGGAGGAGACAGGUUCAGGUUGCGGGGACGUAUUGACUCUAGGUGGUAGGGUUUCACUGUGUGGUGAACUAGAGGCUAAGAUUAUCUAUGCUUCAGAGUCACCAGUUUACAUCACGCUAAAUACAUCAAGCAACACUCAGUACAUCUUUCCACGACGUGGAUUCCUCUUGGAGUACAUCACCUUAUCCUGUACUCCCCCUAGACUAUUCCCAACCUACUCCCUGAUAUACUCCAACCAGACCCACGCUACCUACCAGUGCACCCUUGGCUGGGUGUUCAAGGACUCCUCCAUGUCUACUGCUACAGUACUAUGCUCCCAGGGGGAGAUACAGGUUCCACAGGACUGUAUUCCAGGUAUAGAUAUUAGAUACAGGUUCCACAGGACUGUAUUCCAGGUAUAGAUAUUAGAUACAGGUUCCACAGGACUGUUUUCCAGUUAUAGAUAUUAGAUACAGGUUCCACAGGAUUAUAUUCCAGGUAUAAAUAUUAGAUACAGGUUUCACAGGACUGUAUUCCAGGUAUAGAUAUUAGAUACAGGUUCCACAGGACCGUAUUCCAGGUAUAGAUAUUAGAUACAGGUUCCACAGGACUGUAUUCCAGGUAUAGAUAUUAGAUAUAGGUUCCACAGGAUUAUAUUCCAGGUAUUGAUAUUAGAAACAGGUUCCACAGGACUGUAUUCCAGGUAUAGAUAUUAGAUACAGGUUCCACAGGAUUAUAUUCCAGGUAUUGAUAUUAGAAACAGGUUCCACAGGACUGUAUUCCAGGUAUAGAUAUUAUAUACAGGUUCCACAGGACUGUAUUCCAGUAGGAGGGGCCCCAGACGGAGCAAGCACUCCGGCAGUAGGACUCAGUAUCCAACCCGGAGACAGUUUUGAUGCCGGC